AAUGAACGUUGGCGGCAUGGAUUAGGCAUGCAAGUCGAGCGAGAAGGGUUUUGAAGCUUGCUUUAGAACCCGGACAGCGGCGAAAGGGAGAGUAACGCGUAGUUAUGUGCCCUAGGGUCCGGAAUAGCCACGGGAAACUGUGGGUAAUGCCGGAUAACAUCCCCGGAUCAAAGGUGUUAUUCCGCCCUAGGAGCAGCCUGCGUCCUACUAGCUAGUUGGUGGGGUAAUGGCCCACCAAGGCAAUGAUGGGUAGCGGGUGUGAGAGCAUGACCCGACUCACUGGAACUGAGACACUGCCCAGACACCUACGGGUGGCUUCAGUCGAGAAUCUUCGGCAAUGGGCGAAAGCCUGACCGAGCGAUGCCGCGUGCGGGAUGAAGGCCCUCGGGUUGUAAACCGCUGUCGUAGGGGAGGAAGGUUCCGUGAAGAGCGGAAUUUGACCUAUCCUAGGAGGAAGUACGGGCUAAGUUCGUGCCAGCCGCCGCAGUAAUAC
rnacentral:rRNA from 1 species